rnacentral:rRNA from 1 species
AUACGGAGGGAGCGAGCGUUAAUCGGAAUUACUGGGCGUAAAGCGCGCGUAGGCGGCUUUGUAAGUCGGAUGUGAAAGCCCUGGGCUUAACCUGGGAAUGGCAUUCGAUACUGCAGAGCUAGAGUAUGGUAGAGGGAAGUGGAAUUUCCGGUGUAGCGGUGAAAUGCGUAGAUAUCGGAAGGAACACCAGUGGCGAAGGCGACUUCCUGGGCCAAUACUGACGCUGAGGUGCGAAAGCGUGGGGAGCAAACAGGAUUAGAAACCCCGGUAGUCC